UAGCCACUGUACCCCUCUCUUCUUUGUCUUUCUCAAGCCUUCAGAGACGAGACCCUUCUAACCCAAGCCGCCACUGAAUCUUCUCACCAGAAACCCGGCGGCAACUACGCCACCGGUCACCAUAUCAAUGCUAUAGAACCCCCUCCUCGCCCUAAACCUAAAUAUCUAAGCCCUGUUCCUCGAAUCAAACAGAUCUUCUCGAAUCUUCAUUUGAAGAUUCGAGUCACAUCUCAACCUACACCAAACCCUCCAAAAUCAAUACCUAGCCGUCCUCUAACAUUCCUCGUGCCUUAACAAACCCUGGUUCGAGUCGAAUCUGCCCGGAAACCAUUGAACCCUAAAUCACUCACAAAAACCCUAGAAAUCCAAGAUGGGGUUUUCUGUCUAAUUCGAUGGUAAAUCAAGGUCUAUCGGACCUUAUUUAAGGUCCAUUCGACCUAAAAGGCCGAAUCCAGUCGAAGUACAGGUCGUCUGUUCGUGAGCCAAAAAAACUAAGUAUUUCUUCUUUUUUUCUCUUUUUUAGGUGUAUUGUCUGUGUUAUUGCAUGUUGAGUUAAUUAAUUAGGUUUUCCUUUUGUUCUCAUUUAAUCUCUGUUCAUCUCUGUAAAGACCUUUAUUUGGUCAUUUCUUUUAUGAUUUCCUGUUAUUUGUGUAUUGGUUUGGAGCUUGGUCAGGUUUGGUUUACCAAACUCACCAGCUCAUUCCUUGAAUUUGCACCCCCUAUGCCUUUUUUAACUUAGGAUUGGUAUUAGCUGUAGAAAUUAUAAGCUUAAAGCCUGAAAUCAGUUUUAAGUAUGAGUUUAUAUAGGUUAGUUUCGUAUUAGUAAACAUAGGAUUAAGAAGUUUUGAGUUAAGCCCAUGUGUUAUAGGCACGCCUGAAAUUAGUAUUCAGGCUGCCCAUAUACUUUGGGACUAAAAAAUAAAAUCAGUGGGUUUGCUAGUUGAAAAUCAAAAAUAACACGGGGUCUUAAUAAAGAAUUAAACAACUGACAUUUUUUUUCAAUACUUUAGGUGGAAAAUUAUAACAUUAAGAGGUUAAUGAUAAAAGGGUGCAACGGCACAUGGGAGGGAAUAUACAGGCUGAAAAGAGAAAAACUUUGAAUAACAAAUGUUCAGUUCUGGCCUAUAAAUAGGAUUCAUUCAGGACUGGAUUUUGGAGAUUAGAAAUUCAGAGCUUGGAACUGAAUUUUUGAUAUUAGAAGUGGAGUAUUAGAAAAACAUAUUUAAAGGGUAAUAGAGUGGCUAAGCUGGCUUUUUUAACACCUAAAGAGCUGAGUUAAAAUGAGUGAGAUUAAGGCCGGAACUCUUGAGUGUAUUGCUAAUUGUCCAUCUAUCAGUGGAACAUCUCUCUUGAGUAUUGUCACUGGUUCACCUAUAUUGGGUUUUCUGGUAUUUACUUGGUCUUGUUAAGUUGAUGUUUGAUUCUGGUAUUGCUGGUAUACAUCUGGGUGUUGUUGAGUUUUGAUAUUGGUAUUCAAGUACUACUGCAUCUAUUGUGGACUCUUUAUCUAGUUUUCUGCAUCUACUACUGGGUUUCUGCUAUUAUUAUCGGACUCUACUUAUUGUUGAAGCUCUGUGUUGCUGUGAUUGCUAACCGUGUACUGAUACUCCUACUCUCCCUUUGCUUUUCAUAAUUACCAGGUACACAACUUACACUGGUACACAAUAUAGCUGGAACAGUUCAAAGCAUGAAAUAAAAUGAAGCCUAACGCUUGAAAAUUUAGUUGUAAUUUGUUUAUAUCUUAAGUUGUAUGUAUGUUGGAUGUUAGUUUAGUAGAAGCACGUGAGCAGUUGUAAUAUUAAUACUGCCCUGUAGUAGUUUAGGUCCUGUAAAUUCAUUAACAUGUAUGUUAAUUAGAAAACCUAUGAUGUAGUACCCGCAUCUUUCCUCCUCCAGUUUGUUUCCUUUUCAGUAGGUUCAAACUAGACAUCACGUGUAAGAUAAUUAAUCAGUAGUUCCAUUUCCUUAGCUGAUAAUUCGUCUACUUUGCGUUUAGAUUAAGCUUCUCAACUGCUAAUAUUAUUUCUGCCUC
rnacentral:lncRNA from 1 species